rnacentral:rRNA from 12 species
CCGCGACCCCAGGUCAGGCGGGACUACCCGCUGAGUUUAAGCAUAUAAAUAAGCGGAGGAGAAGAAACUUACAAGGAUUCCCCUAGUAACGGC